UGCGGCCGUUGGCGGCGGCCUUGCCGUCGGUCUUGCCGCGGCCGAAGUUCAGCGCGGUGCGCUCGGGCUCGCGCUGUCGCACC
rnacentral:tRNA from 1 species